rnacentral:rRNA from 1 species
UAGGUAGGUGGUCUCGUUUGUCUGGGGUGAAAGCCCAGGGCUUAACCCUGGAAGUGCCCCGGAAACGGCGAGACUAGAGUUCUGGAGAGGGUCGUGGAAUUCCCGGUGUAGCGGUGAAAUGCGUAGAGAUCGGGAGGAACACCAGAGGCGAAGGCGGCGACCUGGACAGAUACUGACACUCAACUACGAAAGCGUGGGGAGCAAACA